rnacentral:rRNA from 1 species
UACGUAGGGUGCAAGCGUUAAUCGGAAUUACUGGGCGUAAAGCGUGCGCAGGCGGUUUUGUAAGUCUGAUGUGAAAUCCCCGGGCUCAACCUGGGAAUUGCGAUGGAGACUGCAAGGCUUGAAUCUGGCAGAGGGGGGUAGAAUUCCACGUGUAGCAGUGAAAUGCGUAGAGAUGUGGAGGAACACCGAUGGCGAAGGCAGCCCCCUGGGUCAAGAUUGACGCUCAUGUACGAAAGCGUGGGGAGCGAACAGG